ensembl:lncRNA
AUGGGCCUGGCCCUCCUGGGGGACGAGACUGUGGAGACAGAAGCGGCUCGGGAGGUGGGCUGGUGGGGGUGCGGCUCUAGGGCAGCACAAGGAGCCCUGAGGUGUCGGAGCAGCUCUGUACCCCAUCGCACGGUCGCUACAAGGAUCUGCCUCGGAGAUAACAUCUCCCAGACCCACAUGCACACAGGACAGCGGUGGAAAAUGCAGGGACAUUUCAGGCAGUUUCCAGUAACCUCUAGAAGAGGAGUAUUUGUGUACAUAGCUUCCAGACCAGGGCAAGAGAGAGAAGACUGUAAGUAAGCCGGCAAAAGUCCUUUCUGAAUGAACAAGGAAAGGGAGGGGAAAAAAAGAGAAACUAAAAUAGUAAUAAAGAAAAAAUAGGACAAACGGAAACCCCGAGGCAAGCUUUUGGAAUCAUAUCCAGUAAAUAAAUUAAUGUGAAUUAAGAGCUCAUUAAAUGUCAAGGAUUUUCAGGUUGCAGGAGAAAAAUACCACUGCCAUUUACAAGAGAGUCCGUAAAACAUAAGGACGUGAGGGGAAGGUUUACAGGAAACUCGCUGGUCAGAGAGGGAGGGAGGGCGCGGGCGGCGGGGCCGGCUGCGUGUGAAGGGGACGUGGAGACAGUGUGCCUGCAUCUGGACAGACGUGUGCCCGCCCGCACGCAGCGUAUGUAAACGCGUUAGCGACGCGGGCAGCAGGGAUUACCCCGUGACCAGUUCAGCUCAUCAGGCAGAUGAGAAAAUCCCUCAAUGUCGGUACCCCUGAAAGAGCUCUAAAUAGAUAAAUAGAGCCCCCCCCCCCCCCCCGCAGGGGGGCUCUAUCGCGAUAGUGGAGGAUUCCCUCUCGUGCACAGAGACAAGGAGUUCACGGAGACAGCCCAGCCGUGGUCAUCACGCUCACUGGACACUCAGACAGAAGCCUGUACUGAGCAAAAGAACUAGUCCUCUCCAGGCGCAGCUGCCGAUAGUGUCCCCAACGUGGAUCGUUAAGCAAAGUGUCCACAGCUUUCAAAGAAUCUGGAAGUCAUGAAAGACAGCAAUUAUGAGAACAUGCAGCCAUUAGAUGCUAGUAGCACAAAAGUAAAGAAAGAGCUCCUUGUAUGUUGGGACGUUGAGAAACAAUUCUGGAGUUCCCGUCGUGGCGCAGCGGUUAACGAAUCAUGGAACCAUGAGGUUGCGGGUUCAAUCCCUGGCCUCGCUCAGUGGGUUAAGGAUCCAGUGUUGCCAUGAGCUGUGGUGAAGGUCGCAGACGCGGCUCAGAUCUGGUGUUGCUGUGGCUGAGGUGUAGGCCGGUGGCUACAGCUCCAAUUAGACCCUGGGCCUGGGAACCUCCAUAUGCCGCGGGAGUGGCCCUAAAAAGGCAAAAAAAUAAAAACAGUUCUAAAUAACUGGGAGGUCAAAGGAGAAAUCAUGAAUGGAUGUGUAAAAAAGACAUAAUUGAAUAAUAAUGAAAAUACUGCACAUCAAAAUCUGGGGGGGUACUGCAAAGGAAAUCAAUAGCCUUGAAUGCUUAUUCUGCAAAAGAAGACAAGCUGGCAAUGAAUGAAUUAAGAUAUUAAAAAAAAAUAAAUGAGAGUAGAAUGGCCACGGCAUAAACCUUGAGAAAUUAGAGGAAGAAGAUUAUAGAGACAAUGCAGAAUCUAUUAAAUAAUAAGAGUGCCUGCCUGAAGCCGAGAGUCUUCUGUGGAAAGACCGUGAAAAUAGACAAACCGUCAGUAAGAUGGAUCCGGCAGAAAAGAGCAGAAAUUCCAAAGUGGUGAGAGGAUUCUGUGAACAAUCUUAUGCCCCACAGGCUUGGAAACUUGGAAAGUCAAUGGCUGGAUUCCCAGAAAAGUCCCAUUUGCCAUCAUUGACUCAAGACUGUAGGUCGGCGAUUCCGUAACCGUUCAAGAAACGGAAGGAUUGGAAAGACAGCGGGGAAACGCCGAGGCCGAGAGGUCCCUUCAUGAGUUCUCCCCAGAUUUCAGGGAUAAGACCGUCCUGUCCAAACCUCCCCAGAGAACAGAAAAACGGGAAGUUCCUAAACACGUGACUUGAGGUCGAAUCAGAGACGCUGUUCGGGGCGGGAACAUCACGGACCCGUCCGUCCCGUGGACACAGACGUCGUCAUCCCAGCACCGCACGAGUGGACCACGCGGAGUCUGCCUCUCGGAGCUGGUGAUUUAGCAGAAAGCCCAGGAAACCACUGGCUUUGGGGGAAAUAACGCCCCCCGCCCCCGCCCUGUGGAGCUGCUGUGAGGCCGAGGAUGACGGCACUGUUCAACGCGAGCCCUCACCCCGAGGCUCGUCCCAGGCCCUUCCCGCGGGUUCACACCCUCAGUGGCACAGGGCCCUGCAGUGAGAGCUGUGUGAUCGGCUUCAGGCGGCAGCAGAGCAGGGAUCGCCUGUCCUGGCUCCCGGCAGGUGCACAGCCAAGGUCACCUCUUCUCUUUUUCCGGCAUCCUGCCCACGUCCUAUCUGCUCCUUUGCUGAAGGGCUUUACUCAGACGUGCGCUUAUCAGAGGAUGCCCUGAUCCCUCUCCCUCCCCCCGCCUCCCUCCCACGUCCUGUAAGUGCUGUCUUCUGAGCAGGUGAGCUUCCCGGGGCAGGGCUCCGGCUGCGGCAGCACCUAGGACAGCGCCCAGCACGGGGUCCGCACUCCCUCUCUCUGUCUCUCUGUCUCUGUCUCUCUCUGGAUAGCCUGCAUCUCCUGAGCCCGCCCAGGCAUUGAUGAGGCUGGUUGUCCGAGGCAUCUGGGAGGCGAGGCUGGGGUGCGGGUCCCCAGACAGGAGAUGCAGAAAGAAGGAAGUUCUCUAGUGGGCCGGGCCAGGGUCAGACGGUGGCCUGGGGAGUUUGGGCUUCUGAGCUCAUCCAGUCCAGCAAAGGGCAGGACCGGCUAUGAGCCCAGCCGGCACCCUGGCCCAGCCCCUGGCUGGUGUGCACCUCCAGGCAGGAUGAGGGGGCUCUCUGGCCAGAGCCCUUCAACCUGUUCUCGGGACAGGCUGUUGUGACCUGAGAGCUCGAGAGGCCACGCCCCAGGCUGUUUGGGCCAUGGGCCUGCUGUCUCGGCCAGGCUGGGAGCCUCCUUGUGGGGUGGGGAGCUGCCUUUUCCCUGGGAGUCGAGGGGGGUAGAUAAGCCGCAGUUGGAUCUGCCGAGGCCUGAGUGAGCUCCAGUCCCGGGGUGUGGAGAGCACCGGAGAGCCUCAUUUUCAUCAUCAAAUUGUUACAGGGUCUCCCCGCCAUCUGCUGAGACAUGUACAAGUGAAUGGGGUUCCAGGCGCUGUGGGGGACAGUGGGUGGGGCCCCGGGGGUGGGAGG